UAACGAUACGGGACUCAUCCGAGGCCCCGUAAUCGGAAUGAGUACACUUUAAAUCCUUUAACGAGGACCCAUUGGAGGGCAAGUCUGGUGCCAGCAGCCGCGGUAAUUCCAGCUCCAAUAGCGUAUAUUAAAGUUGUUGCGGUUAAAAAGCUCGUAGUUGAAUCUGUGUGCCACGCUGUCGGUUCAUCGCUCGCGAUGUUUAACUGACAUGAUUGUGGGACGUCCUACCGGUGGGCUUAGCUCCUCACGGGGCGGUCCAGCUAAUAUCCCAUCGCGGUGCUCUUCACCGAGUGUCGAGGUGGGCCGGUACGUUUACUUUGAACAAAUUAGAGUGCUCAAAGCAGGCUAUGUUCGCCUGAAUAUUUUUUGCAUGGAAUAAUGGAAUAGGACCUCGGUUCUAUUUUGUUGGUUUUCGGAACCCCGAGGUAAUGAUUAAUAGGGACAGAUGGGGGCAUUCGUAUUGCGACGUUAGAGGUGAAAUUCUUGGAUCGUCGCAAGACGGACAGAAGCGAAAGCAUUUGCCAAAAAUGUUUUCAUUAAUCAAGAACGAAAGUUAGAGGUUCGAAGGCGAUCAGAUACCGCCCUAGUUCUAACCAUAAACGAUGCCAGCUAGCGAUCCGCCGAAGUUCCUCCGAUGACUCGGCGGGCAGCUUCCGGGAAACCAAAGCUUUUGGGUUCCGGGGGAAGUAUGGUUGCAAAGCUGAAACUUAAAGGAAUUGACGGAAGGGCACCACCAGGAGUGGAGCCUGCGGCUUAAUUUGACUCAACAC
rnacentral:rRNA from 1 species